rnacentral:rRNA from 1 species
GAUGAACGCUAGCGGCAGGCCUAACACAUGCAAGUCGAGGGAGGAGCCUUCGGGCUUCGACCGGCGUACGGGUGCGUAACGCGUAUACAAUCUGCCUUUCACAUAGGGAUAGCCCGAAGAAAUUUGGAUUAAUACCUAAUGGUAUAUAGGAGUGGCAUCACAUUUAUAUUAAAGCUGAGGCGGUGAAAGAUGAGUAUGCGUUCUAUUAGCUAGUUGGAGAGGUAACGGCUCCCCAAGGCUACGAUAGAUAGGGGUUCUGAGAGGGAUAUCCCCCACACUGGUACUGAGAUACGGACCAGACUCCUACGGGAGGCAGCAGUGAGGAAUAUUGGACAAUGGUCGGAAGACUGAUCCAGCCAUGCCGCGUGCAGGAAGACGGCCUUAUGGGUUGUAAACUGCUUUUGCAGGGGAAGAAUAAGGAGUACGUGUACUUUGAUGACGGUACUCUGCGAAUAAGCAUCGGCUAACUCCGUGCCAGCAGCCGCGGUAAUACGGAGGAUGCGAGCGUUAUCCGGAAUCAUUGGGUUUAAAGGGUCCGUAGGCGGGCUAAUAAGUCAGAGGUGAAAGCGCUCAGCUCAACUGAGCAACUGCCUUUGAAACUGUUAGUCUUGAAUGGUUGUGAAGUAGUUGGAAUGUGUAGUGUAGCGGUGAAAUGCUUAGAUAUUACACAGAACACCGAUAGCGAAGGCAUAUUACUAACAAUUAAUUGACGCUGAUGGACGAAAGCGUGGGGAGCGAACAGG